rnacentral:snRNA from 1 species
GUUCUUAUCAAUCUACAAUCUCUUUCAGGCCAUCUCUGGCGGGGCCGAUUGGGGCGACGUGGCGGGCCCGCUCCUGGAACUUGGUUGGGGCUACGCCGUCUUCUUCUCGAUCUUCAUGUGCUUUACGCUCUUCGCCGUGCUGAACAUCGUUACGGGUGUCUUCGUCGAGGGCGCCA